AACCCCGAGAAAUUGGGGCUAAUCUCCGAUAGGUGUGAUGUCCUGGAAUGGUAUCACGCCUAAAGGUCCCAACAGCAUGUUGUUGUUACGCCUAAGGAUGGGGCUGCGGCCGAUCAGGCAGUUGGUGAGGUAAUGGCUCACCAAACCUUUGACCGGUACGGGCCAUGAGAGUGGUAGCCCGGAGAUGGAUACUGAGACAAGGAUCCAGGCCCUACGGGGCGCAGCAGGCGCGAAACCUCCUCAAUGCACUGAAGUGUGAAGGGGUUACCUCGAGUGCCAUCUGAAGAAGGUGGCUUUUCCUUGGUCUAAAUAGCCUUGGGAAUAAGAGGGGGGCAAGACUGGUGUCAGCCGCCGCGGUAACACCAGCCCCUCGAGUGGUGGGGAUGAUUAUUUGGCCUAAAGCGUCCGUAGCCGGCCGAGUAAGUUUCCCGUUAAAUCCAACGUCUCAAGCGUUGGACUGCGGGAAAUACUGCCCGGCUAGAGAGUGGGAGAGGUAAGCGGUAUUCUGGGGGUAGGGGCGAAAUCCUUUGAUCCCCGGAGGACCACCAGUGGCGAAGGCUGCUUACUAGAACACGUCUGACGGUCAGGGACGAAAGCUGGGGUAGCGAACCGGAUUAGAUACCCGGGUAGUCCCAGCUGUAAACGAUGCACGCUAGGUGUUGGGUCGGCCACGCGCCGCCACAGUGCCGCAGGGAAGCCGUUAAGCGUGCCGCCUGUGAGUACGGCCGCAAGGCUGAAACUUAAA
rnacentral:rRNA from 1 species